rnacentral:misc_RNA from 1 species
GAUGAAGAACGUAGCGAAAUGCGAUAAGUAAUGCGAAUUGCAGAAUUCAGUGAGUCAUCGAAUCUUUGAACGCACAUUGCGCCCUGUGGUAUUCCGCAGGGCAUGCCUGUUCGAGCGUCAUUUCAACCCUCAAGCUCUGUUUGGUGUUGGGCCCUGCCCGCUGCGGCCGGCCCUAAAGACAGUGGCGGUGCCGCCUGGCCCUGAGCGUAGUACAUCUCUCGCUCCAGUGCCCGGUGGUAGCCUGCCAGAACCCCAACUCUCGUGGUUGACCUCGGAUCAGGUAGGGAUACCCGCUGAACUUAAGCAUAUCAAUAAGCGGAGGA